UACAGAGGGGGCAAGCGUUGUUCGGAAUUACUGGGCGUAAAGGGCUCGUAGGCGGCCAACUAAGUCAGACGUGAAAUCCCUCGGCUUAACCGGGGAACUGCGUCUGAUACUGGAUGGCUUGAGUUUGGGAGAGGGAUGCGGAAUUCAUGGUGUAGCAGUGAAAUGCGUAGAGAUCAUGAGGAAGACCAGUGGCGAAGGCGGGUCUCUGGACAGUUCCUGACACUGAGACACGAAGGCCAGGGGAGCAAACGGG
rnacentral:rRNA from 1 species